UUAUACAGGAAGCCUUUACUCUAUCAACUGGAAAGUGACCCUUGUCAUCCAGCUCUUAUUUAUUGGCUAGAACAAAUUAUGUGACUCCCUCAUCUGCACGGGUCUUGGGAAAUACAAUCUUCCAUAUGUGGAGGAAAGAAAGGAUAAGAAGAUAUUGCCCUCCAGGUCCUCAGUGUUACUUUUGUUUUGAAAGAAGAGGAAAUUCUGGAAACAUGUUUCUUGAUCAUUUAUUUCCGUCUGGGUCUAAGCACCAAAUUGUCAGUACAAAAGACAGAUGACAAGCUGGAAGAAGGAAAAAAAAAAAAAGAGAGAGAAAGAGAGAGAAUAAAACACUUUGAGACGAGAUAGCCAAAGAGA